GGUCGCCGGGCGCGCGGGGGGACGCCGGCUGCACUCCGGGGCAGGCGCUCUGCAAUGAGACAGUAAAUGCAUCCCCCGCGCACUGCUGUAGGGUAACACCUGGAUUGGGUUCCCAGACCCUUGGAUGUCUUGCUGCCCACAAAUUCCUGGAUCAACUUGUUGAAAACUAUCAUCUAAAAAUAUGGAAAAGUUGUAGAAGGUGGAAAGUUCUGCCCAGGGAAGGUGCUCAAAUACUUGUUGGAGUUACCCAGAAUAUCAGCUUGAAGCUAUGAGUGUUUGUGCCCUAGA
rnacentral:lncRNA from 12 species